rnacentral:rRNA from 1 species
CGGGCGGCAGCAGUGGGGAAUCUUAGACAAUGGGGGAAACCCUGAUCUAGCCAUGCCGCGUGAUCGAUGAAGGCCUUAGGGUUGUAAAGAUCUUUCAGUUGGGAAGAUAAUGACGGUACCAACAGAAGAAGCCCCGGCUAACUCCGUGCCAGCAGCCGCGGUAAUACGGAGGGGGCUAGCGUUAUUCGGAAUUACUGGGCGUAAAGCGCACGUAGGCGGACUUGAAAGUUGGGGGUGAAAGCCCAGGGCUCAACCCUGGAACUGCCCUCAAAACUCCAGGUCUUGAGGUCGAGAGAGGUGAGUGGAAUUCCGAGUGUAGAGGUGAAAUUCGUAGAUAUUCGGAGGAACACCAGUGGCGAAGGCGGCUCACUGGCUCGAUACUGACGCUGAGGUGCGAAAGCGUGGGGAGCAAACAGGAUUAGAUACCCUAGU